rnacentral:tmRNA from 1 species
GGGGUCGUUACGGAUUCGACAGGCAUUAUGCGACACAUUUUGCAACUCAUCUAGCGGAUGUAAAACGCCAGUUAAAUAUAACUGCAAAAAAUAAUACUUCUUACGCUUUAGCUGCCUAAAAACCAGCCAGCGUGACCUGAUUCGGAUUGCUUGUGUCUGAUGAUAGGUCUUAUUAUUAGCAAGCUACGGUAAAAUCUUGUCUAGGGAUUUUACAAGAGAUGAAUAGACUCGCUUGAUUUUGGCUUGAGUUAUGUGUCAGAAUGAAGUUAAAAGAAUACAUAACCUAUGGUUGUAGACAAAUGUGUUGGCAGGUGUUUGGACGUGGGUUCGACUCCCACCGGCUCCA